GGUCACUCUGCUGUUUCAAGGACUUGUCAAUGGGCUGUAGGCAGUUGCUGAAGGUGGAAGGUCUCAUCUUCUGUAGCUUCUUGCUGCUGAGAAGGGGUGUAGAGAUGUCCCUACCUACAUGGGUCAGUAUUGGUCAGGUGGGGAAUGCAUGAAGGAAUCAACGAAAAGCAGAGGCAGCUGAAUCCAACAUGGACAGUAAGGUGGUAUCUCUGUGGGUAAGGAUCGUCUGUCAUCGAGAAGCCAUUGCAGCAAUGGAAUCUCUGCACCAAGCAAAAGGACACGGGAGAAAACAGCAAAACAUAACUAGAAUAACUAGAAAGAUUAGCUCGAAUAAAAGUUCUUUACUAGUUGACAAGAA